AGCGGCGGAUGGGUGAGUAACACGUGGGGAACCUGCCCCUAAGUCUGGGAUACCAUUUGGAAACAGGUGCUAAUACCGGAUAAUAAAGCAGAUCGCAUGAUCAGCUUUUGAAAGGCGGCGUAAGCUGUCGCUAAGGGAUGGCCCCGCGGUGCAUUAGCUAGUUGGUAAGGUAACGGCUUACCAAGGCGACGAUGCAUAGCCGAGUUGAGAGACUGAUCGGCCACAUUGGGACUGAGACACGGCCCAAACUCCUACGGGAGGCAGCAGUAGGGAAUCUUCCACAAUGGACGCAAGUCUGAUGGAGCAACGCCGCGUGAGUGAAGAAGGUUUUCGGAUCGUAAAGCUCUGUUGUUGGUGAAGAAGGAUAGAGGUAGUAACUGGCCUUUAUUUGACGGUAAUCAACCAGAAAGUCACGGCUAACUACGUGCCAGCAGCCGCGGUAAUACGUAGGUGGCAAGCGUUGUCCGGAUUUAUUGGGCGUAAAGCGAGCGCAGGCGGAAAAAUAAGUCUAAUGUGAAAGCCCUCGGCUUAACCGAGGAACUGCAUCGGAAACUGUUUUUCUUGAGCGCAGAAGAGGAGAGUGGAACUCCAUGUGUAGCGGUGGAAUGCGUAGAUAUAUGGAAGAACACCAGUGGCGAAAGCGGCUCUCUGGUCUGCAACUGACGCUGAGGCUCGAAAGCAUGGGUAGCGAACGGGAUUAGAUACCCUGGUAGUCCAUGCCGUAAACGAUGAGUGCUAAGUGU
rnacentral:rRNA from 1 species